CCGAGUUUACAACUCCCAAACCCAAUGUGAACGUUACCAAACUGUUGCCUCGGCGGGAUCUCUGCCCCGGGUGCGUCGCAGCCCCGGACCAAGGCGCCCGCCGGAGGACCAACCAAAACUCUUAUUGUAUACCCCCUCGCGGGUUUUUUACUAUCUGAGCCAUCUCGGCGCCCCUCGUGGGCGUUUCGAAAAUGAAUCAAAACUUUCAACAACGGAUCUCUUGGUUCUGGCAUCGAUGAAGAACGCAGCGAAAUGCGAUAAGUAAUGUGAAUUGCAGAAUUCAGUGAAUCAUCGAAUCUUUGAACGCACAUUGCGCCCGCCAGUAUUCUGGCGGGCAUGCCUGUCCGAGCGUCAUUUCAACCCUCGAACCCCUCCGGGGGGUCGGCGUUGGGGAUCGGCCCUUUACGGGGCCGGCCCCGAAAUACAGUGGCGGUCUCGCCGCAGCCUCUCCUGCGCAGUAGUUUGCACACUCGCAUCGGGAGCGCGGCGCGUCCACAGCCGUUAAACACCCCAAACUUCUGAAAUGUUGACCUCGGAUCAGGUAGGAAUACCCGCUGAACUUAAGCAUAUCAAAAGGCCGGAGGAA
rnacentral:rRNA from 1 species